rnacentral:misc_RNA from 1 species
AACUUUCAACAAUGGAUCUCUUGGCUCUCGCAUCGAUGAAGAACGCAGCGAAAUGCGAUAAUUAAUGUGAAUUGCAGAAUUCAGUGAAUCAUCGAAUCUUUGAACGCAUCUUGCGCUCCUUGGUAUUCCGAGGAGCAUGCCUGUUUGAGUGUCAUUAAAUUCUCAACUCUCUUAUACUUUGUUGUAAUAGAGAGCUUGGACUGUGGAGGUUUGCUGGACGCUUGUUGAGGUCAGCUCCUCUGAAAUGCAUUAGCAGAACCGUUUGCGAUCCGCCACAAGUGUGAUAACUUAUCUACACUGGCAAGGGGGAUUGCUCUCUGUGUUCAGCUUCUAAUCGUCUCAGGUUCAUGGAACAACUUCUUGAAUGCUUGACCUCAAAUCAGAUAGAACUACCCGCUGAACUUAAGCAUAUCAAUAAGCCGAGGCU